GCCUCGGCCUCCCAAAAGUGCUGGGAUUACAGGCGUGAGCUACUACGCCUAGCCCUUUAAUUUAAUUUGAUUUAUUUUUAAUUUUUAUUUUUAUUUAUUUAUUUUUGAGACAGAAUCUCACUCCAUCACCCAGGUUGGAGUGCAGGGGUGCUAUCUCGGCUCACUGCAACCUCUGCCUCCCGGGCUCAAGCGAUUCUCGUGCCUCAGCCUCCCGAGUAGUUGGGGGUUAUAGGCGCCCGCCACCACGCUCAGCUAAUUUGUUUUGUAUUUUUAGUAGAGAUGGGGUUUCACCAUGUUGCCCAGGCUGUUCUUGAAAUCCUAACCUCAAGUAAUCUGCCCACCUCAGCCUCCCAAAGUCCUGGGAUUACAGGUAUGGGCCACCACGCCCAGCCCAGCAAUGAUGAGUUUUAAAGAAUAUACAGGUUAUUUUGUUUUUAUUUUAUUUUUUAUUAUUUUUUUGAGACGGAGUCUCGCUCUGUCGCCAGGCUGGAGUGCAGUGGCGCAAUCUCUGCUCGCCGCAAGCUCCGCCUCCCGGGUUCAAGUGAUUCUCCUGCCUCAGCCUCCCGAGUAGCUGGGACUACAGGCAUCUGCCACCAUGCCUGGUGAAUUUUUUGUAUUUUUAGCAGAGACAGGUUUUCACCUUGUUGGCCAGGCUGGUCUUGAACUCCUGACCUCAUGAUCCACCCACCUCGGCCUCCCAACGUGCUGGGAUUACAGUCGUGAGUCACCGCACCGUGCUGGUUUUGGUGGGCAUCACCUGUCCUUGGCUCUAAUAGAGGAUGUUACAGAAAUCGUGUAGGCGCAGGUUUAGGUGCAGGCACAGGUGUAGGCAUAGCACAGUGUAGGUGCAGGCACAGGUGUAGGUGUAGGGGUAGCACAGUGUAGGUGCAGGCACAGGUUUAGGUGUAGCACAGUUGUAGGUGUAGGCAGAGAUGUAGGUAUAGCACAGGUUUAGAUGUAGGCAAAGGUGUAGGUGCAUUGUAGGAUUAGGUGCAGGUGUCAGCACGGGGUAAGUAUAGGCAGAGGUGUAGGUGCAGGCACAGAUGUAGUUGCAGGUACAGAUGUAGGUGUAUAUUUUCUCUUGGAAAUAGCAAAGCACCGGCCAGACAUGGUGGCUCACGCCUGUAAUCCUAGCACUUUGAGAGGCCGAGGUGGCCAGAUCACCUGAGGUCAGGAGUUCAAGACCAGCCUGGCCAACAUGGUGAAACCCCGUCUCUACUAAAAAUACAAAAAUUAGCCAGACAUAGUGGUGCAUGCCUCUAAUCCCAGCUACCCUGGUGGCUGAAGCAGGAGAAUCACUGGAACCUGGAAGUCGGAGGCUGCAGUGAGCUGAGACCACACCACUGCACUCUAGCCUGGGUAACAAAGUGAGACCCUGUCUCAAAAAAAAAAAAAAAUCGAAGCACCUUGAAACUCUACAGUUUCAAUCCCAGAAUCCAUUACCCACUCUCAUGUUUAAAAGAAAGCUCCUCUUCCCAUGUUCCCUAUCUUGGUAAAUGGUGAUGCCACCCCAUGAGAAACAGGGUACUCUCUGCUUCUUUCAGAAACGCCACAGUCUAUUUAUUUAUUUAUUUAUUUUGAGACAAAGUCUCGGUCUGUCACCCAGGCUGGAGUGCAGUGGCGUGAUCUUGGCUCACUGCAACCUCCGCCUCCCGGGUUCAAGUGAUUAUCCUGCCUCAGCCUCCCAAGUAGCUGGGACUACAGGUGUCCACCACCACGCUUGGCUAAUUUUUAUAUUUUUAGUAGAGAUGGGGUUUCGCCAUGUUGGCCAGGCUGGUCUGGUACUCCUGAUCUCCGGUGAUCCCCCCACCUUGGCCUCCCAAAAUGCUGAGAUUACAGGCGUGAGCCACCGCGGCCGGCCCUGAUCAUUUUAUUUCACCCAGUUCUGACACUGUACUUCCUGAAGAUCUCUCCUAUCCAGCCAUGUCACCUACUUCCAGGCUACAGAGAAAUUGAGAGUGCCAAGGAAGCCGCCACUGUCUGUGGUUGGCAGAAUAGCACCUCAGGAACGUUCCCAGCCCAGUCCCCAGUCCUGUGAAUGGGUCGCCUUAAAUGAUCAAGGACGUUCCCAGGCCUGUGAAUGGGUCACCUUAAAUAACAAGAGAUUUGCAGAUGGGAUUAAGGAUGCUGAGAUGAGAGAUUAUCCUGAUGACCCAGGUGGCCCAAGGUCAUUACAGUGUCCUCAAGAGAGGAGGCAGGAGGGUGAGAGUCAGAGAGAAGAGGCUGUGCUGGUGGAUUUGAAGAUGAAAGACCUCAGCCCGCAACCCCACACCAGGGAGGCAAGCGCCUCCAGAUGCCAGAAAAGGCGGGAAAGGGACUCUCCCCUGGGGCCUCUGGAAGAGGCAGCCCUGCUGAUACUUGGACUUUAGCCCAAGUGAGAUCUACUUUGGACUCCAUCCUCCGGAAGGAUAAGAGAAUAAAUGUGCUUUUUGUUGUUGUUGUUUUUGAGACAGAGUCUUACAGUCUCUCUCUGUCACCCAGGCUAGAGUGCAGUGGCGUGAUCUCGGCUCACUGCAGCCUCAACCUCCCGGGUUCAGGAGCUUCUCCUGUCUCAGCCUCCUGAGUAGCUGGGAUUACGUGCAUGCGCCACCACACCCAAUUAAUUUUUGCAUUUUCAGUAGAGAUGGGGUUUUGCCAUGUUGGCCAGGUCUCGAACUCCUGACCUCCAGUGAUCCGCCCGCCUCAGCCUCCCAAAGUGCUGGGAUUACAGGCGUGAGCCGCCGCACCCGGCCCGAAUGUGCAGUGUUUUAAGUCACCCCAUUUGUGGGCGUUUGUUACAGCAGUGGCCAGAUGCUAACAUGGGAACUGUCUUUGUCCGUUUGCCCCGCUGUAACAAAGUACCAUAGACCGGUGGGUUAGAAACAACAGAAGGUUAUUUCCCACAGUCCUGGAGGCUGCAAGUCUGAGAUCAGGGUGCCAGCAUGAUCAGGUGCUGGUGACGGGGGCCCUCCUGGUUGCACACACCACCUGCUUCUCAGUGUCCUCACAUGGCAGGCAGGGGCCACUGGUGUCUCUUGAUCCUCUUUUAUAAGGACACCAAUCCCAUGCAUGACAGCUCUGCUCCAUAACCUCAUUGCCUCCCCAAAGCCUCACUUCCUAAUACCAUCACCUUGAGGGUGGGAAUUACAACAUAUGAAUCUGGGGGAGACACAGGCGUUCAGGCCAUAGCAGGGACUGGGGGUCUUUUCCUAACCUAUUUGAGCCUCAAUCUCCACGUCUGUGGAAUGGGGACAAUGAUAAUCCCUCCAUCAUUAGGUCACUCUAAAGAUCCAUAAGUUGUGCAACAGGUGUCAGCUGCUUUGACUGUGGC
rnacentral:lncRNA from 10 species